rnacentral:rRNA from 1 species
UUCGGGGGUACACGAGUGGCGAACGGGUGAGUAACACGUGGGUGACCUGCCCUGUACUUCGGGAUAAGCCUGGGAAACUGGGUCUAAUACCGGAUAUGACCUUCCCCUGCAUGGGGGUUGGUGGAAAGCUUUUGCGGUACAGGAUGGGCCCGCGGCCUAUCAGCUUGUUGGUGGGGUAAUGGCCUACCAAGGCGACGACGGGUAGCCGGCCUGAGAGGGCGACCGGCCACACUGGGACUGAGACACGGCCCAGACUCCUACGGGAGGCAGCAGUGGGGAAUAUUGCACAAUGGGCGAAAGCCUGAUGCAGCGACGCCGCGUGAGGGAUGACGGCCUUCGGGUUGUAAACCUCUUUCAGUAGGGACGAAGCGCAAGUGACGGUACCUACAGAAGAAGCACCGGCCAACUACGUGCCAGCAGCCGCGGUAAUACGUAGGGUGCGAGCGUUGUCCGGAUUUACUGGGCGUAAAGAGCUCGUAGGCGGUUUGUCACGUCGUCUGUGAAAACCCGAGGCUUAACCUCGGGCCUGCAGGCGAUACGGGCAGACUUGAGUACUGUAGGGGAGACUGGAAUUCCUGGUGUAGCGGUGGAAUGCGCAGAUAUCAGGAGGAACACCGGUGGCGAAGGCGGGUCUCUGGGCAGUAACUGAC